UUCUAUUGUGUUUUGUACCCCAUGUCUCCCUUUUGUUCCAUUAUCCCAUGCCAUUCUCCAGAAAUUCUUACUUUGUGUCCAAACUAUUCUUUUCCCUCAGAUUUCAACAAUGGUAUCUGCACAUCAAUGUCUACUUUUUUAACAGCUGCUUUAGCCAACCUAUCUGCUCUUUCAUUACCCACAAUACCUCGGUUGAGGGGGUCAGACCAGCACAGUCUCUUUCAGCACACAUGGAUAUUUCCUCAGUCUCAUAGACACUGAGAACAAUUUGUGUGUGAGACUAAAGAAACAGUCCACACAUAAUUGACCAAAAGGCCUCUAAAGUUCUGUGGUUGCCACAUUUCCGCAUGACUGUUUAAUUACAGCAAAAACCAUAAUUAUAAUUAUCUUGAUUGAUAUUGUAAUCUCAGUUUUCAACACAAUUGUUCAUUAACUUAAACAAUGUUACAACAUAAAUAUAUAUUCUUAGUGCUUAUUUUCUGAUUAGAUGGUUUUAUGUAUUUUAAUAAGAGAGGCCUUUAUAAACCAAGCCCAGAUGUGAGAAAAAACUAGGUCAGAGGGUGACAGGUCGCCUAGCAACAGAGGCUUUAGUAAGGGGAAGUUAGAAAACAGGAAGUUUAGUGCAGAGCUGCAGAGGCAUAUUAAUAAAAUACAGAAAACCAGACAGAAAAAGCGGAACUAAGUAACACACACAUUAGUCAGAGCAGACGGAGUUGUUUUGAUCGAAACUGUGUGUCUGUGUGUGACCUAUAGUAGAACUAUGUAUGCGUAUUUUGCCUGGCAAUGCUUUUAGAACUGGGGUACGUGCUCGUGGCUGCAGGUCUCCGUUUCCAGAAAUGUAAAAAUAAAGAUCAUUUUUUGAGCUUUGACCACUCUGAGUCGGAAGUCUUUCUCUGUCGCCAAAAGAAUUCAAAAGAACGGAAUUUAAUAAUUGGUGCCAGUGACCCGGAUUCUUUUGCGGCUGAGAGGACAAAUUCGGCUUAAGGUGGGAUCUGAUAUGAGGCGAACAGGAGACCGGUCUAAAAAGAUUUAAAGUGUGUUAAUACAGGUGCCCAUGGACUUGCUCAACCUCCUGGAAGAAUACAGCGGAAAAAUGAUAGAUUAACAGAAUUGGGACGAAAACAGGCUUUGGUUUAAAAUUUCACAGCUUCACCUCUCAUCCUGUCCUUAUCCUGAGAAGAAGCUUAAAGGGCAGUUAAUCUCCUGAUGAAGAGAGAAGACAGACAGAACAACACCGUGGACUUGAAGAAUUAACAGCAGGCAAAAAGACACUGAAGGGUCCAGCAGCAUGUAUGUUGAUGGAAACAUGCGCUCUGAAUUACAAGCUGGAAAGUGUACCAGUGACAUGACUGUGUGAAACCACUGGAUGGGACUGUCUGAGUCUCAUAUUUGCCAUGCUGGGAGUUAAGCGCCAAGAAAAGACUGAAAAGAGGAAGAGAGAAUGAACAGAGAAGAAGAAACAGCUGAUUUGGGCCUGCGUUUGAUUUGGGAAGUUGAGGAAGUUGAGAGAAGAGGGGACGAGGACCGGUGAGAGGUGAAGGCUGGACGUGUUAAAGCGACAGCAGGAAAAUUGGGUUGAACAUUGAGGCUGAAUUUGUGGGGUUUAGAAACAUCCAGAGCAUCACAACAGAUGUUUUAGUAUUUCACAGUGACACCAACUGUGCCAUGUGUGCAACAGCGAAACCACCCAAUCCAGGACCCUCCAUCACUGACUGGGUAUAGUGUUUUUAAAAAAGUAGUUUUAUGUUAUCUACAACAAAGUAUCUGGUAGCGUGUUCAGAUGGCCAAAUCACACUAUUAAAACAUGCUUCCUGCUUGGAGACAGGGAGGACACAAAUUGGCGUUAAGUAAUAAUUUGCCCGAUUAUUAAUGUGUUAGUUUGCAUCUACUUUACAAUUAUGGGCACAUGAUAUGAUAACGAUAUUUUAGCAGUUCAAUGAUAAAAGUAUAACAUUAAUUAUGGUGGGGGGUGGACAAUGGCUAUUACACUCGAUGCACUCCAGCUGACUUACCUUGGUAUGAAUGACGACGUACUCACAGUUUGGCGGCUUGAAAAUAGCCAAAUCUUGCACCCAGCCAUUUGUAAAUUGGAUGUGCGCCUCCAGUGACUUGUAAUUACGAAACUGGUUCGCAGUGUAAGCGCUUACUCCACAAACAAGAUACGUGAAGAUAUCAGGGUAGGACAGUGGCGGUAAGUCGUCUGGGUCUUUACUCCACUGCCGUA